rnacentral:tRNA from 1 species
GCCUGGGUGGCUCAGUCGGUUAAGCAUCUGACUUCGACUCAGGUCAUGAUCUCCCAGUUCGUGGUUUCGAGCCCUGCAUCAGGCU